AUUGAACGCUGGCGGCAGGCCUAACACAUGCAAGUCGAACGAGUGGCGGACGGGUGAGUAAUGUCUGGGAAACUGCCUGAUGGAGGGGGAUAACUACUGGAAACGGUAGCUAAUACCGCAUACCAUCAGAUGUGCCCAGAUGGGAUUAGCUAGUAGGUGAGGUAACGGCUCACCUAGGCGACGAUCCCUAGCUGGUCUGAGAGGAUGACCAGCCACACUGGAACUUAUGCACGGUCAAGACUCCGAAGGUAGGCAGCAGUGGGGAAGAUUGCACAAUGGGCGGAAGCCUGAUGCAGCCAUUCCGCGUGUAUGAAGAAGGCCUCCGGGUUUUAAAGUACUUUCAGCGGGUAGGCGUUACCCGCAGGAGAAGCACCGGCUAACUCCGUGCCAGCGGCCGCGGUAAUAC
rnacentral:rRNA from 1 species